rnacentral:lncRNA from 11 species
GUAAGGAAAGGAACUCUAAGAAGAACAUAGAUAAGGAAAGAGACCCUCAAAGACCAUCUAGAUGGUUUCUUAAGACCAUCGGUAAGGAAAGAGAGCCUCAAAGGCCAUCUAGAUGAUCUCAUAAGACCAUAAGAGACCUCCAAAGGCCAUCUAGACGGUCCAUUCCUCCGACCUUUGGGCACGCUUGGCUCUCUGGCCGUCUCCCGCAUGUAACCCCAUGUGUCCCGUGGCGUGGCUCCUCUGCCUGCACUUCCUCCCCUCGGUGGCUGUUUUCGUUGUGGGACGUGGUCCCUUGAUGUCCUUGUCCCCAUCGUCCUCUUCCGGUGCUGACUGCCUUCCUUUCCUGUUUGCACUACGGGUCCCGCAGCUGUGGAGCGACGAGGUGGAAAAAGCGGAACAUGAGCUCCGGAUGGCUCAGACGGAGUUUGACCGGCAAGCGGAAGUGACCCGCCUCCUCCUCGAAGGGAUCAGCAGCACCCACGUGAGACCCCCCUCGGAAAAGGGCUUUGUAGUGGCAGCGGGUGAAGGAAAGGGUCUCGGGUGCCAUGGGAGUAUCCAUUCCAUACCCAACAUGGCAGUGGGAACUCCAUCUUGUACCCAAAUGGGCAUUAGGAGGUCCAGUUGUCAUGAUCUCCCAUCUUGGACAUCUUUGGACGCAGAGCAAACGCUGACAAAGAACAGAUGCCAACCAUAAAACCUC